GCCGAGUUAGCACAAUGGUAGUGCAAUUCCCUUGUAAGGAAAAGGUUAUCUGUUCAAAUCGGAUACUCGGCA
rnacentral:tRNA from 1 species